rnacentral:rRNA from 1 species
UGUUUCGGCAAGGGGGUCAUCCCGACUUACCAACCCGAUGCAAACUGCGAAUACCGGAGAAUGUUAUCACGGGAGACACACGGCGGGUGCUAACGUCCGUCGUGAAGAGGGAAACAACCCAGACCGCCAGCUAAGGUCCCAAAGUCAUGGUUAAGUGGGAAACGAUGUGGGAAGGCCCAGACAGCCAGGAUGUUGGCUUAGAAGCAGCCAUCAUUUAAAGAAAGCGUAAUAGCUCACUGGUCGAGUCGGCCUGCGCGGAAGAUGUAACGGGGCUAAACCAU